rnacentral:rRNA from 1 species
AUACGGAGGAUCCGAGCGUUAUCCGGAUUUAUUGGGUUUAAAGGGUGCGCAGGCGGCCAUUUAAGUCAGCGGUUAAAUCGUGGGGCUCAACCCCAUUCUGCCGUUGAUACUGGGUGGCUUGAUUGCGGUCGAGGUUGGCGGAAUUCGUUGUGUAGCGGUGAAGUGCAUAGAUAUGACGAAGAACACCGAUUGCGUAGGCAGCUGACCAGACCGCAAAUGACGCUCAUGCACGAAAGUGCGGGGAUCGAACAUGAUUAGAUCCGCUGGUAGUCCGCACAGUAAACGAUGAAUACUGGUUUUCGGCGAUAUAAUGUCGGAGGUAAAGCGAAAGCGAUAAGUAUUCCACCUGGGGAGUACGCCGGCAACGGUGAAACUCAAAUGAAUUGACGGGG